rnacentral:rRNA from 1 species
CGGGGCUUAGUGCCGGAGCUAACGCAAUAAGCACUCCGCCUGGGGAGUACGACCGCAAGGUUGAAACUCAAAGGAAUUGACGGGGGCCCGCACAAGCGGUGGAGCAUGUGGUUUAAUUCGAAGCAACGCGAAGAACCUUACCAGGUCUUGACAUCCCGAUGCUAUUCUUGGAGAUAGGAAGUUACUUCGGUACAUCGGAGACAGGUGGUGCAUGGUUGUCGUCAGCUCGUGUCGUGAGAUGUUGGGUUAAGUCCCGCAACGAGCGCAACCCUUAUUGUUAGUUGCCAUCAUUAUGUUGGGCACUCUAGCGAGACUGCCGGUAAUAAACCGGAGGAAGGUGGGGAUGACGUCAAAUCAUCAUGCCCCUUAUGACCUGGGCUACACACGUGCUACAAUGGUCGGUACAACGAGUUGCGAGCCGGUGACGGCAAGCUAAUCUCUGAAAGCCGAUCUCAGUUCGGAUUGGAGGCUGCAACUCGCCUCCAUGAAGUCGGAAUCGCUAGUAAUCGCGGAUCAGCACGCCGCGGUGAAUACGUUCCCGGGCCUUGUACACACCGCCCGUCACACCACGAGAGUUUGUAACACCCGAAGUCGGUGAGGUANCCUUUUAGGGGCCA